CUACCUCCUGGGACUCUCUGCAUGUCAAGGUUGAAUAGGGUCCUUAAAUUAGGUACCUGUGACAGGGAGGUGUGCAUUCACAAUAAUCAACAUCAGGAGCCUUACAAUAUCUCACCCUUUAGGUUCAUUUAGCAAAAGUAUUUCUACUUUCACAAUCUUGAGUAGCUGUACCUUGGGCAUUGAUUGUACCAAAAAGCAUGAAUAACAGUGUCCUUGUUAUUAUUCUGUACAAUUGUAUCCAUGUUACAUUAACCAGAAAACAAAAUUGAUUUGAUGUAGUCCACGAAAUAAUGUCCUCUCCAACUUAAUCCACAAUCACCG